UCAGAGCGAACGUUAGCGGCGGGCCUAACACAUGCAAGUCGAGCGAGAAAGGGACUUCGGUCCUGAGUAAAGCGGCGGACGGGUGAAUAUCGCGUAGGUAAUCUGCCUUUCAGAGGGGGAUAACGGUCCGAAAGGACCGCUAAUACCGCGUACGUAUCUCGGGUCUCCGGGCCUGAGGUGGAAAGCUAGGUAGCAAUAUCUGGCGCUGAAAGAGGAGCCUGCGUCGCAUCAGCUAGUUGGUGGGGUAACGGCCUACCAAGGCGAAGACGCGUAGCUGGUCUGAGAGGAUGAUCAGCCACACUGGGACUGAGACACGGCCCAGACUCCUACGGGAGGCAGCAGUGGGGAAUAUUGGACAAUGGGCGCAAGCCUGAUCCAGCCACGCCGCGUGAGUGAUGAAGGCCUUCGGGUCGUAAAGCUCUGUGGGGAGGGACGAACCGCCGGCGGUGCAUAGCCGACGGCAUGACGGUACCUCCUUAGCAAGCACCGGCUAACUUCGUGCCAGCAGCCGCGGUAA
rnacentral:rRNA from 1 species